rnacentral:sRNA from 1 species
UUUGUGGAAUUCUGUUAUGAU